CCAAAAAAAAAAAAAAAAAAAAAAAAAGAGUUAUUAAGGAAUGUUGCAUAUAUGUUUUUGUUCAACAGCCUUACAUUUAAGAGUCAUCGUUAAGAACAACUGUGUUUUCUCACAGCACAUUUUCUCCACUUUGGGUAGCAGCAUCUUUCCAGGUCUGAAACUAUGAGAGACACAUAAGGCACCUGCUGUCAAGUAAAUGGAAAAUAACAUCCUUAGAAACAGCUUUUGUUUCCAUUUUUCUUGAGCAUGAAAAUCAGUCAUUUUCUAUAUUAAUACUUCUCUAAGUUGUCUGAGCACUCUAUUCACCCACUCAUCCCUCUAAGUAAAUAGCAUUAUUUUCAUAUAAGCAGCUGAAAAUUCAGAACAAAUCCUCCCAAACAAAUAUCAAAACUCCAGAUGCAUAAAGCCAGUGUUUGCCGACCUUAAACACAGCACAAAUCCCCAAAGGGUAGAGAGAUCCAAACAAGUCAUAAUUACUGACAUAACUAGAUUUGUUGCUGUGCACCAUCUGAAAUGAAUACUGUGUGAGCAUAUCAAGGAACUAUUUUCUGUGAAUUAUUUAAAAAGUCAAACAAAGUAAUAAUGAAGCUAGCAGGAUGAAGCUUCUAACACAGUGUUUUUAUUUAAAGCAGUUAUAGUUGCUUCAUUCUCAAAAGUACAUAUUUAAAAUGUAUUUUAAAAUGAUCUACAUUUUUUAAUUCCCCGUCAACAUUUAUGAUCGUAGCCAGAUUUCCACAUGAUAUUUAUCAUUUCAUGGCAAAAUUUAGGCUUAUAUUCUUUUAUGACUGUUAAAUUCUUUUUAAACAUACCAUAUUUUAAAAUGUUUAAAUGAUUCUACAUCACAGGGUCAGACAUUGAGUGUUUUCUAUUGUGUUUAUUCAUAGAAUUAAAUAACACUGGAUAUGAUUUGCUAUAUUUGCUUUUCUCACUAUUUGCGGCUUAUAAAUAAAAUGAUCUGUUAUCAUUACCCAAAAAAGUAGGCACUUGAGACUUUAAUAUGUCUAAUUUUCUAGUACUGGGCAUAUCUCAAACAUAUAUGAAGAACUACAUACAAGUUAAAUCAAGUUUUAUGGGUGCUGCCAUCUCUCUUGAUGCAGUGGUACAGUUAAGAGACUGAGGGGUGUGCUCAGUGGAAUGCCCUUCUCUGUGAUAAAGUCACUCACUGAUAGAAUGAGUGAAAUGUAAGGCUUCCAAAGAUCACUUUUGCAAUAGAGGGGGAAAAGAGGGUAGUUAUGAGGAUCAGAUGGCUCCUAAAGAUCCACCUCAUGUGUCUCAUUCAGAUAGCCACUAAUGCUCUUGUGACAACCCUUUGUCUUUUUCACUCUUGAGAAGAGAAUUACCCUUCUGCCUGCUUUGAAUUUGCUCUCAUAUGGCUAGGAUAAAAUUUGCCCCAAGUGAACUCAGUGUUUGUGUUUAUGGAGUACUCGGCAUGUCAGACCAUGGGUUCUAGUUGAGUGUUUACAUUUUCCUUCUUACAUUAAAUGUGCUUGGCUUUCAACUUAUGUUUUGCUCUUGGAAACUGCCUGUUCUUAGUCCUUUGCCUUUAUUUCCUACCUGUAUUUUCAAAGUGCAGGUUCAUGCUCUCCAGUCCAGAUCAGUUUCCCAUUCAAACCAGGUUUCAUUCCUAGAGCAAGGAAAUGUUUUUAUUGAUCCAAAGAAAUAACAAUCUAACUUCCAUCCAUAGGUUUUAAUUAUUAAGAAAUUUCACUGUAGGAGAUGUUGGGAAGAUACAAUUCCAGUAAUCCUCCAAUGGAUUAACUAAUCAUAAUUAUCUACUUGCAAUAUCAUCAAUAAUAAGAGUGAAUAGAAUGAAGAUCAAAUUAAGACUAGCGUGCUUUGGCAAUUGUAAAUACAGUGGUUUAUGUCACUUUAUAAAACUUGCACUCACAUACACUAGAGUCAAUAUUUAUUAAAUCUAUGCACAAUCAUGCUUAUAAAUAAAAUAGUAGUUUCUAUCAUUCAUUUUAUUUUGAGAAUGUAUUUAGUUAGGAUAUUGAUAUUAGCUUUCAUAAUUCAUGCAACUCAGUCAAUCUGCCCAUAUUUUAAAUUGUGCAAUUAUGAGGUCCACAAAGAAAAAAAGGUUUGAUUUAAAUUUUAUUUCUGUUAAAGAUCUAAGCAAAUAUUACUUUAGUUAGCUUAAAUAUUGUGUUUUAAAGUUGUAGGAUUAUUUUUAAGAAUUUUCCUGAAAACCAUGGUGUCUCAAAAUUUUGGCUAAAUAUGUUUUGCUUGUUUUUUUAAUCAGGUGCUAGGAAACUUGGUGGUGGUAUUCUAUGUGAUUCCUGAAGUACCAGAUAACUUAUUCCUAUAGAAGGAAAAUGAAUUUUGGCAUUUGACCUGCACUGAAGUUCUGACCUUAUAGUUUUAUUGUUAUGAAGGUUGCAUAUCUCCUCUAAAGCUUCAGUUUAUUUAUAUGAGGAAUAGAAAGAAUCCUGCCUAUUUUCCUGCCUCCAUAUCCUCUCCAUUCUGAAUGAUCAUUGAACCCCAAUAUUUCCUUCAUAUACAUAGUUGGGGUUAGUCAAGUGUUUCAGCACUGAAUAGCAUGAAUGCAUAUGCUGAGAAACCAAGUUAAGUCCCCACUCUCCAGGUUAGGUAGGUCACAUCUACAAUUUCAGCUCCAGGAGUUCCAAUGUCCUUUUUCAGACACCACAAGCACCCAUAGAAAUACUGCCCUUCACCACCACCACACACACACACACACAAUGAAAAUAAAUCCUUAAAAGAACAUAUAGUCUCCAUAAUGUAUCUCACUUGCAUGUCCCUAUUCUGCAUGUUCUACCUGCUCUACAACUAUGGAUGUCCCCUAAACUUUCCUCAUUAGGAUCAGACUUUAUAUCUAGAACAAGGAGGUUUGAAUUAGAGCAAAAAAUCAAAAUCAUUUUGAAAUCUCACUGUGGGAGCUGUUGGGAAGACACAAAUAGUAAUCUUCUAAUAGAUUACUCAUUGUUAUCUAAUGAUACUGGUAGCAACAAUAAUAGAUUAUCUUCCCAUAUCAUCUAUAGUCUCUACUUACCCAAUAAUUAAUUGUCAAAAGUCACUGCUGGUGGUCCUUCUUAGUGUGUUUCUUUCAUAGUGCAGGCAGCAUAUGUUCCUGCUUGAAUUCACUAGGCCAUGAAGCUCUCUAUGUCUACAAAUGCUCACUGAAGUGAAAGAUUCAUUCAACACCUUUAGAGUACAGAGAAAAGAAAGGAAGCAACCAGGUACCUAUGUUUUCCUAACUGAAAUUUCUGAGUAAACUAAAAUUAUAUGGUAUUCAGCCCAUGUAUUCCUUUAAUAAAAUUUGGGGAAGGUUUUGACUGUUUAUGAUAGGUGGAUACCAAUGGUGGUUGUACAAAGACGAGAGAAUUGGUUUAUAGAAUGUUUAAGAGGGUCUAAGUUAGCUGUCCCAGAGGGUCCUAGAAGGUUGCAAAAUCUUACUGUGGCAGGAACUGAGGGACAGAGCUUGGGGAUGAUACAGUAUAGAAAAUGUACCAAUAUACCAUGAGUUGGGUGAGACAGAAUCAACCAAAAAGAAAUCCUAACAUCCAUAAUGCAAGAUUAUAGGAUUCAUAAGGAAAAGGUGUUGGAGAAGCCAGGACAAUCAAUGACUAUAUAAGAAGGAAAUUCUGUGAGGAAAGGGUUAGAUUUUUGCAGGCAUCGUGGUUCCUCCAGUCUCAGUGAGAUCAUAUGUGCAUCCUUCACAGAAGUUAGAUGAUCUAUCCUGUCUUUCAUGAAUUGUAUAUUAUGCAAUUUAAGUUUAGGUCUUCCAUCCACUGUGGAUUGUAUUAGUAUUUUAUUAGUACAAACUGUAGUUAACCAGUUUGUAUAUGGUAGCUAGUUGCUGCCUUCCUUUCUAUAUGAAAUGCUAGGAUCCUUCCACCUACUUUCUUAGAUCAGCAUCCUCAUGCUCUAGUCUUCAAAAUCUCACUCCAGAGUGCAUCCUUAAUUGCUGAUCUUUAUCGCUUCCAUAUUCUCUGCAUAGAGUGCACUUGUGUUCUCUGCAGUCCCCCAGCUUCAUUUACUAUCAAGCUCAACUAUUUUCUGUAUUUCUAUUAAGUCUUUUGAAGUAAUAGCAAACUGUUGGUCUCCAGGGCCUAAACUCACUCUGCACAGUAUUCAGUUGUCAGAAGUUUAGCAUGUCCUAGUUACUAAGUCAAUUAACCUGUUUCUAACUCUCAUCCAAUUUAUCCUUCUUGAUGUAUUUAAUGUGCCCUGCUGUCUUCUUAAUAGUGCUCCAUGUGAUAUUAUUUUCCUCAGCUUUCUCCCAUUUACCUGAUCAAUAUUUUCUGUGGCCUUAUUUAUUGCAGUUCAUCCUUCUAAAGACAUAUUUCAUAGGCACAGGAGAUAUCCUCUUCUAAAAAAUUAAAGAAAAAUACUGUAAAUUAUACGUAUUUUACUAAUGAUUAGAAAUAUUAUCUCUGUCUAUUGUCAUUGGUGAAUAGCUCUGAACUAUGGCAUGAAUAAGUAAAUACUAUUGAUAUUGUACUUGCUUAUGUUGUUCAUGUUUUCACUUCCAUCCCUCUAUUAAUGUUUAAGAAAAUUGCACAUAGCAAAGAAAGAAAACAUGAAUGUGAGCUAAGAAAAGUAUAUUUCUUAUGUGAAAUUCCUUUUUGAAACAGUUAUCUUUAAUGUUCAAUCUUUAAGUUCAACAUUCACAAGUUAGUGUUCACCUUGUAGGAACCUACAUAUUAGAGAUGCAUGAAGAAAGGGCUUAGCAGAUUGUUCUAUGAGGACUUGGAUUGUCAGACAUUUGCAAGUUAAAUUCAAGAUUGCUGUAUAUAUUUGAAGAAUUAAAAAUUAACAUAAUUUUAUUUGUUCAAUUCAUGGAUAAAUAAUAUUCUAAAGUUGCUCAGACUAUUUUUAUGCCUAUUAGAAUAAUUGUAAUUGUUCAUUUAUUCAUUUUUAUUUAAGAGUUAAAUAAUAUAAAGUUCACAUCGCUUCACAGGCAUAAACAAAAUGUACUAUAUAAAUCAUCUUGUCUUUCGCUGUCAACUUGAAAUGCCCAGCAUCUCACCUGUCUUCAUAUUUCAUGUAAUGAGGCAUUCAUGGUCUCUGCUUCUAUAUGCAAAACAGCAGCAUUCAUCCAGCCUGUCUGGUUCAGGAAGCAAAUGCUUUAUUUCAUUUGUGAGAUUCCUUCAAGGUAAAAAUGGAACAAUCUCUGAUUUUGUUUAUCUUUGUAACUUUAACUGAUAGUCUGAAUCCCGAGGCCCCAAGGAGUCUCUGGUUUGUUUCCUCGUCAGUAACAGCUCAAAUGCUGUGAGACCAACAGCAGAGGGACCUUCCUGACACUGCAUGCUCAGCGUUUCAUAUAUUACUGGCUUCCUAUGAACAAGAGCAUUUAUUUUAUUUUUAAUUUUUUUUCAUGUUUUGUAAUAUAGUUAUUUACCAAAUAAACUCAGUCUUGGCAUGGCUUCAUGCUCAAGGGUGUCAGAGAAAUAUCAGAACAGGCAGGUUCCUGUCAAAGACUUUUCACACAACAGAAGAUGCUGACUCAUCCUGUGGAUCACUGUGAAAUGUGCUUAAUUAACAUCCUACUUGCACAUCACAGAGGAUAAUGAAGUAGGUAUUCUUUAAAGAGUCAGAAUAACAGAAAUGGAACUUAACAGAAGAAUCAAAAUAUUUUCAAAAACAGAAGAAACUUCUUAUCACAUGAGCUGAACCAAACCUUAAGGAUUGAGACAGGAAAGGGCAUAAGGUGUCUAGGAAAUGAUGGUUCCACCUGAGUGAGGUUGAGAAAUUGAGUGGUACAUUCUUUAGCUGUAAAGGGCUUCGAAAGCCAAAUUUCUUAGAGAAACUAAAUAUAACGAAUGCCUAUAAGUAAAUGAAAAAUCAAUUGUGUACUAUGGUAUCCAAUAGUAACUGGACAGUGUACAAACUGAAGUACUCUGUGGAAUGCAUAGAGGGAACUAGAGACCACCUAAAGGAAAGGAAGAUAAUAGCUGAGUGACUGACCUCAGAUAAUGAGAAGUGGGCUAUCUGAGCCUAAGUUUGUCAAAUCUGUUUAAAUAGAGUGAGCUAGAGAUAGAGACAGAAAAUUUGAGACGUUGAUUGUAUAAAAUGCCUGAAAGACAAGGAAAAACAUAAACUCGGUUAUGCAAAACCAUGCCCUUGGUCUCCUACCACAGAAAAUGCAGCACCAUGUUUUCAAUGUGCCCAUCUCUUCAUGCUGGUGGUUUUGGGGCAAAUUUUCAUCUUGCAAACUUCAUUUCAUCUGCACUAACUCUCAUUUUUCUAAACUGUUUUAAUUCCUUUUAUUCCAAGAAGAGCAAAAUGUUACACAAUCACAUUAGAUAUAAAAUAGUCUGUUUAAGCAAGAUAAAAAGUUUCCAUUUCUUUAACAUGGGGCUGUGAGUUCCUGCCUACCUAGCUUACCUUACCAUGUUGUUGUAAAGUUCAGAAGAAAUGAUGGAUAGCAAAGUACUUUGACAACUAAAAAACCUUUACAAAUGUGAGCUAUCAUCAUUAGAGUUCUGCCAUGCCCUGUGUGUGAACCCGGAACAGUUCUUGGUUUUCAUUUGUCAUGUCACUCUUCUAAUUCCUGUAGAGCAUGUCCCACAAGAUUUUAUCAUAAGACUCUCUUUUAAUCAACGGCAAAUGCAGUUUCUUGAAAGUACAAUAUUGUUUCUAUUACAAAUAUUCUUUGAGCUCUGGAGGAAGCCUAAUACGCAUUUCAAGGACCAUUAUACUUCUGAUGGUUUUUUCCCCUAUCUCUUUCCUUUCAUAGCUGCAUUUUCUUCAUAUUAUGUGGGUACAGUGAAAUUAUUUCAUCAGGCAAAGUACUAUACAAAAAAAUUAACUGUUAAAUCCCAUUCUUUCUCCCCACUUUAUCUUUCCUCAUCUUUGAAUUUACAUUCUCAGAUCACCUAUGGCCUCCAUGUGAUGCCGCCUGUUGAUCAUAAAAAUGAAACUAAACAUUGAAAGUGAUGAAUAUAAGAUGGUGGCCUCCUUAUUUAGUGGAGCUUGAAAUUAGACCUUGGUAGGAGCCUAGCUCAAAAGGUGUUGAGUCACUCAGUUGUCACUGUUUUUUAAUGUGUUCUUUAUCCCUUUUGCAUCCCUUUACCAAAUUAGUAUUACUCCCAUGCUUACAGGCUUCCUUUUGGCCUUUGACAUAGUAGCCACAAAAGAGUAAUGUAAUCCCAUUGGCACAGAUACAUUGCAUGAUUACCUGCUUUUCCCAGUAUAUAUUAGAACACUUUACUUGUAUAUAAUCAUAUAUUCCAUUAAGGCAUUCUGAUUUUGGUGUGGGGAAUAGGAGUAUUAAUUAUUAUAGUAGACUACUAUUACUUUGAAAAUUCCUUAAAAUGCAAUAUAGAGUUGAUUGGAAUUUGAAUCAUAAGCAGUUAAAUUCAGUCACAGCCUAGAAAGAGUUCCACCGUUAAAGUGGGUUUCAUGGACAUAGCAAAUUUCAGUUACUUGAUGUUAUGUUUUAAUGAUACCCUUAAAUUUGAUCAACUCGUGGAAGAACAGAAGUUGGAAUAGAAAUGAAACUUCAAUUACAUUCUUACUUCUCAAUCCUUGUGAGGCACAGUUUUAGAACAAAAAGGACACCACCACCAAUGUUUAUUUGUCUUCAGCCCUCAGGUCUGCGGAGGUGCCCUGGAGCUUGUUGAGUUCUAACUGUGGAAAGUAUGGUAGGAUCUUGGAACAGCUUUCCUAACACUGCACAGCCCCACUGUUCUCUGUUCUCCUCUCAUGGAAUCUCCACACUUCUCCCCUAACAGUUGCCUCUUUCAGUCUCAGGGUGUAGCUAGAGUUUUCUGCCUUGCCCACAGUCAGGACAAAUCUCUGUCACCCGCCAGUCCCACAGCCGCUCA